GACGAACGCUGGCGGCGUGCUUAACACAUGCAAGUCGAACGGAAAGGCCCUGCUUUUGUGGGUUGCUCGAGGGGCGAACGGGUGAGUAACACGUGAGUAACCUGCCCUUGACUUUGGGAUAACUUCAGGAACCUGGGGCUAAUACCGGAAAGGAGCUCCUGUUCCAGGGGGGGGGUGGGAAAGUUUCGGCGGUUGGGGAUGGACUCGCGGCUUAUCAGCUUGUUGGUGGGGUAGUGGCUUACCAAGGCUUUGACGGGUAGCCGGCCUGAGAGGGUGACCGGCCACAUUGGGACUGAGAUACGGCCCAGACUCCUACGGGAGGCAGCAGUGGGGAAUAUUGCACAAUGGGCGGAAGCCUGAUGCAGCAACGCCGCGUGCGGGAUGACGGCCUUCGGGUUGUAAACCGCUUUCGCCUGUGACGAAGCGUGAGUGACGGUAAUGGGUAAAGAAGCACCGGCUAACUACGUG
rnacentral:rRNA from 1 species